rnacentral:rRNA from 1 species
CAGCAGCCGCGGGAAUACGUAGGGUGCGAGCGUUAAUCGGAAUUACUGGGCGUAAAGCGUGCGCAGGCGGUUCGUUAAGACAGAUGUGAAAUCCCCGGGCUUAACCUGGGAACUGCAUUUGUGACUGGCGAGCUAGAGUAUGGCAGAGGGGGGUAGAAUUCCACGUGUAGCAGUGAAAUGCGUAGAGAUGUGGAGGAAUACCGAUGGCGAAGGCAGCCCCCUGGGCCAAUACUGACGCUCAUGCACGAAAGCGUGGGGAACAAACAGGAUUAGAUACCCCUGUAGUCCCUGUCUCUUAUAC